CUGCGCUAGGCGGGGGACUAGGGGUACCCUGUAAUCCGAAACCCUCUAUAUGCGGGGCUGAAUGCCGUAUGCGGCCUUUUGUAUGGUUGGUCGGCAAAAAUAAGGGACGUUGAUAUCAAGGUCUUGUGCAAUGUCGUCCCGUGAACCAUGUCAGAGCUUGACCGCAGCAGCAUUAAGCGGUUAACGGCGUGUGCCACGAGGUUACCUUGAAGGAGUUACCUGUUUUUGUAUCACUUCGGUGCAAAUUGUCAGGUUACGGUUGCGCAG
rfam:Clostridium sp. CAG:349 genomic scaffold, scf13